GGUUGGAGUAUCAGUCUCACAAAAGGCCCCUGUGCCCUUCUUCCCUCACUACUCCAUGUGUGUCUCUCCCGAAGCUGCCCACUAGGUCGAAGAGGACGACCUUCCCUGAGUAGAGGAGGACAGGUCUUCCGUCAAGGCUAUAAGAAUAGCAGUACUCCCCUACUAGAACCUCCAAACAAGCUCAAGGUCCAUUUGAUCUCACUUUUAUCUAGAAGUAUUUUCUUAAUUUAUCAAUUUACAAUGAGGAAUUUUAGCUCUGGAUGUAUGAGCUACUAU
rnacentral:snRNA from 1 species